GAUGAACGCUGGCGGCGUGCCUAAUACAUGCAAGUCGAGCGAACAGACGAGGAGCUUGCUCCUCUGACGUUAGCGGCGGACGGGUGAGUAACACGUGGAUAACCUACCUAUAAGACUGGGAUAACCUCGGGAAACCGGAGCUAAUACCGGAUAAUAUAUUGAACCGCAUGGUUCAAUAGUGAAAGACGGUUUUGCUGUCACUUAUAGAUGGAUCCGCGCCGCAUUAGCUAGUUGGUAAGGUAACGGCUUACCAAGGCAACGAUGCGUAGCCGACCUGAGAGGGUGAUCGGCCACACUGGAACUGAGACACGGUCCAGACUCCUACGGGAGGCAGCAGUAGGGAAUCUGCCGCAAUGGGCGAAAGCCUGACGGAGCAACGCCGCGUGAGUGAUGAAGGUCUUCGGAUCGUAAAACUCUGUUAUUAGGGAAGAACAAAUGUGUAAGUAACUAUGCACGUCUUGACGGUACCUAAUCAGAAAGCCACGGCUAACUACGUG
rnacentral:rRNA from 1 species